UACGUAGGGUGCAAGCGUUAAUCGGAAUUACUGGGCGUAAAGAGCGUGUAGGCGGCUUUGCAAGUCCGUUGUGAAAACUCGAGGCUCAACCUCGAGACGCCGGUGGAAACUGCAAAGCUAGAGUCCGGAAGAGGAGAGUGGAAUUCCUGGUGUAGCGGUGAAAUGCGCAGAUAUCAGGAAGAACACCCGUGGCGAAGGCGGCUCUCUGGGACGGUACUGACGCUGAGACGCGAAAGCGUGGGGAGCGAACAGG
rnacentral:rRNA from 1 species